CUCUAAUCUUCAUUUUUAUUGUAUUUUAAUUUUCAGUUUUUCGAACACACUUCUUCGUUGCGGCUCUAGCUUGGAUCAGCCUUGUGCUUCUAAACCUUCACUUCCUGGUUCAACCAACAAACCAAAACUUGUAAAGAUUGUUGCUUUUGCAAGUUGUGGUUUAUUUGCACUGAUAAUUCUUGGGGCUAUCUUUGUAUAUAGAUACAAUCACAUGCACAGACAUAAAACUGAUGUCUUUUUUUAUGUUUCAGGUGAAGAUGAGAGCCAAAUUUCCUUUUGGCAACUGAGAAGAUUUUCAUAGCGUGAACUGCAACACGCGACUAAAAAAUUCAGCAAAAGCAAUGUAAUUGGCACAGGAGGAUUUGGAAAAGUUUAUAAAGGAGUACUCUCUUUUUUAGUUCUCAGGUCAGUUUGGGCAUCAUGUCCAGUUUUUGCUUUAACACCCUUUUUUUGGAAUAUAUAUAUUUU